GUCUGUGUGAUAUGUUGAGGAGGAGGGUGUGGAGACAGCUCUGUGUGAUAUGUUGAGGAGGAGGGUGUGGAGACAGGUCUGUGUGAUAUGUUGAGGAGGAGGCAGCUAACGCUCUCUCUUUUCCAGUCUCUCUCUCUCUCUCUUCCAGUCUCUCUCUUCUCUCCAGUCUCUGAUCAAGGCCCAUGACAAGGUGGCAGCUAACUGUCUCUCUCUCUCUCUCCAGUCUCUGAUUGAGGCCCGUGACAAGGUGGCAGCUAACUGUCUCUCUCUCUCUCUCUCUCCAGUCUCUGAUUGAGGCCCAUGACAAGGUGGCAGCUAACUGUCUCUCUCUCUCUCUCCAGUCUCUGAUUGAGGCCCAUGACAAGGUGGCAGCUAACUGUCUCUCUCUCUCUCUCCAGUCUCUGAUUGAGGCCCGUGACAAGGUGGCAGCUAACUGUCUCUCUCUCUCUCUCCAGUCUCUGAUUGAGGCCCAUGACAAGGUGGCAGCUAACUGUCUCUCUCUCUCUCUCCAGUCUCUGAUUGAGGCCCAUGACAAGGUGGCAGCUAACUGUCUCUCUCUCUCUCUCCAGUCUCUGAUUGAGGCCCAUGACAAGGUGGCAGCUAACUGUCUCUCUCUCUCUCUCCAGUCUCUGAUUGAGGCCCAUGACAAGGUGGCAGCUAACUGUCUCUCUCUCUCUCUCCAGUCUCUGAUUGAGGCCCAUGACAAGGUGGCAGCUAACUGUCUCUCUCUCUCUCUCCAGUCUCUGAUUGAGGCCCGUGACAAGGUGGCAGCUAACUGUCUCUCUCUCUCUCUCCAGUCUCUGAUUGAGGCCCGUGACAAGGUGGCAGCUAACUGUCUCUCUCUCUCUCUCCAGUCUCUGAUUGAGGCCCAUGACAAGGUGGCAGCUAACUGUCUCUCU